rnacentral:rRNA from 1 species
UAAGUCACUGCACUUUGAACCGUUCCGUAGGGGACCUGCGGAAGGAUCAUUACCGAGUUGAUUCGGGCUCCGGCCCGAUCCUCCCACCCUUUGUGUACCUACCUCUGUUGCUUUGGCGGGCCGCGGUCCUCCGCGGCUGCCCCCUCCCCGGGGGGUGGCCAGCGCCCGCCAGAGGACCAUCAAACUCCAGUCAGUAAACGAUGCAGUCUGAAAAACAUUCAAUAAACUAAAACUUUCAACAACGGAUCUCUUGGUUCUGGCAUCGAUGAAGAACGCAGCGAAAUGCGAUAAGUAAUGUGAAUUGCAGAAUUCAGUGAAUCAUCGAAUCUUUGAACGCACAUUGCGCCCUUUGGUAUUCCGAAGGGCAUGCCUGUUCGAGCGUCAUUACAACCCUCAAGCUCUGCUUGGUAUUGGGCACCGUCCUUUGCGGGCGCGCCUCAAAGACCUCGGCGGUGGCGUCUUGCCUCAAGCGUAGUAGAACAUACAUCUCGCUUCGGAGCGCAGGGCGUCGCCCGCCGGACGAACCUUCUGAACUUUUCUCAAGGUUGACCUCGGAUCAGUACGAGCCCCCCC